UGGGAUUAGCUGCCUCCCACAGUGGAAC
rnacentral:piRNA from 1 species